GUGAUGACUUCACUGGGUUAUGUUCUAGCAAUCGCCAGAACUUAAGUCUUAUCACUUCCUGGUUUAUUGUUUUCUCAAAGUAGAUCAUUUGGUUACUUCAGCACAAGAAUAACGUUUCAAAAGAAUGGCAUCUGGAUUCUUCCCGAAGUAGACAUGAUGGCUUUUUUCAUAGUAUAGUUAUUGUUUGGUCCAUGUGUCAAUGUCGUUGUCAUCUUGCCCACUCCCCACCCCAGACAGGGAAUCACUCUGUAGCGCUGCUUUGUCUGAAACUACUAUGUAAACCAGGCUGCCUAGAAGUCACAGGGAUCCUCUUGGCUCUGCUUCUGAGUGCUGGGAUUAAAGACGUGGACCAUCAUGCCCAGCUAUAAACAGCACGGCAUGUUUGUCUCCUGCUUCCUCUGUGUCUGGCUGGUGACUCCGCCUCCUUCCCUGUCUGCAAGUCUCAGUUCCUAAUUCCAGGUGCCUGCCUUGAAUUCCUGCCCUG
rnacentral:lncRNA from 1 species